rnacentral:rRNA from 1 species
UACGUAGGUGGCAAGCGUUGUCCGGAAUUACUGGGCGUAAAGAGCGCGUAGGCGGGAAUUUAAGUCAGGAGUGAAAACUGCCGGCUCAACCGGUAGCCUGCUCUUGAAACUGGAUUUCUUGAGGGUAUGAGAGGAAAGCGGAAUUCCCAGUGUAGCGGUGAAAUGCGUAGAUAUUGGGAGGAACACCAGUGGCGAAGGCGGCUUUCUGGCAUACAACUGACGCUGAGGCGCGAAAGCGUGGGGAG